rnacentral:rRNA from 1 species
UAGCUCCUGGAUUCAGCGGCGGACGGGUGAGUAAUGCCUAGGAAUCUGCCUGGUAGUGGGGGAUAACGUCCGGAAACGGGCGCUAAUACCGCAUACGUCCUGAGGGAGAAAGUGGGGGAUCUUCGGACCUCACGCUAUCAGAUGAGCCUAGGUCGGAUUAGCUAGUUGGUGGGGUAAAGGCCUACCAAGGCGACGAUCCGUAACUGGUCUGAGAGGAUGAUCAGUCACACUGGAACUGAGACACGGUCCAGACUCCUACGGGAGGCAGCAGUGGGGAAUAUUGGACAAUGGGCGAAAGCCUGAUCCAGCCAUGCCGCGUGUGUGAAGAAGGUCUUCGGAUUGUAAAGCACUUUAAGUUGGGAGGAAGGGCAGUAAGUUAAUACCUUGCUGUUUUGACGUUACCAACAGAAUAAGCACCGGCUAACUUCGUGCCAGCAGCCGCGGUAAUACGAAGGGUGCAAGCGUUAAUCGGAAUUACUGGGCGUAAAGCGCGCGUAGGUGGUUCAGCAAGUUGGAUGUGAAAUCCCCGGGCUCAACCUGGGAACUGCAUCCAAAACUACUGAGCUAGAGUACGGUAGAGGGUGGGUGGAAUUUCCUGUGUAGCGGUGAAAUGCGUAGAUAUAGGAAGGAACACCAGUGGCGAAGGCGACCACCUGGACUGAUACUGACACUGAGGUGCGAAAGCGUGGGGAGCAAACAGGAUUAGAUACCCUGGUAGUCCACGCCGUAAACGAUGUCGACUAGCCGUUGGGAUCCUUGAGAUCUUAGUGGCGCAGCUAACGCGAUAAGUCGACCGCCUGGGGAGUACGGCCGCAAGGUUAAAACUCAAAUGAAUUGACGGGGGCCCGCACAAGCGGUGGAGCAUGUGGUUUAAUUCUAAGCAACGCGAAGAACCUUACCUGGGCUUGACAUGCUGAGAACUUUCCACAGAUGGAUUGGUGCCUUCGGGAACUCAGACACAGGUGCUGCAUGGCUGUCGUCAACUCCUGUCCUGAGAAGUUGGAGUUAAGUCUCGUAACCAGAGCAACCCCUGCCUUAGUUUCCAGCACCUCCGGGUGGCCCUCUAAGAAACUGCCCGGCAACCCGAAAGAAAGGGGGG